AUUGAACGCUGGCGGCAGGCCUAACACAUGCAAGUCGAACGGUAACAGGAAGCAGCUUGCUGCUUUGCUGACGAGUGGCGGACGGGUGAGUAAUGUCUGGGAAACUGCCCGAUGGAGGGGGAUAACUACUGGAAACGGUAGCUAAUACCGCAUAACGUCGCAAGACCAAAGAGGGGGACCUUAGGGCCUCUUGCCAUCGGAUGUGCCCAGAUGGGAUUAGCUAGUAGGUGGGGUAACGGCUCACCUAGGCGACGAUCCCUAGCUGGUCUGAGAGGAUGACCAGCCACACUGGAACUGAGAAACGGUCCAGACUCCUACGGGAGGCAGCAGUGGGGAAUAUUGCACAAUGGGCGCAAGCCUAAUGCAGCCAUGCCGCGUGUAUGAAGAAGGCCUUCGGGUUGUAAAGUACUUUAAGAGGGGAGGAAGGGAGUAAAGUUAAUACCUUUGCUCAUUGACGUUACCCGCAGAAGAAGCACCGGCUAACUACGUG
rnacentral:rRNA from 1 species